rnacentral:rRNA from 1 species
UGAGGAAUAUUGCGCAAUGGGCGAAAGCCUGACGCAGCGACGCCGCGUGGACGAUGAAGGUCUUCGGAUCGUAAAGUCCUUUUCUGCGUGACGAGGAAGGACGGUAGCGCAGGAAUAAGUGUCGGCUAACUACGUGCCAGCAGCCGCGGUAACACGUAGGACGCAAGCGUUAUCCGGAAUUACUGGGCGUAAAGGGCGUGUAGGCGGCACGGUAAGUCAACCGUGAAAGCUCCCGGCUAAACUGGGAGAGGUCGGAUGAGACUGCCGAGCUAGAGGGUCGUAGAGGGGUGUGGAAUUCCGGGUGUAGUGGUGAAAUGCGUAGAGAUCCGGAGGAACACCAGAGGCGAAGGCGGCACCCUGGACGACACCAGACGCUGAGACGCGACAGGCACGGGGGAGCGA